GCAACAAAUGCCCUGCUUCCAGGAAAAGCCUCUAAGCAUCAGGUAACAUCAAAUCGUACCCCAAACCGACACAGGUGGUCAGGUAGAGAAUACCAAGGCGCUUGAGAGAACUCGGGUGAAGGAACUAGGCAAAAUGGUGCCGUAACUUCGGGAGAAGGCACGCUGAUAUGUAGGUGAAGUCCCUCGCGGAUGGAGCUGAAAUCAGUCGAAGAUACCAGCUGGCUGCAACUGUUUAUUAAAAACACAGCACUGUGCAAACACGAAAGUGGACGUAUACGGUGUGACGCCUGCCCGGUGC
rnacentral:rRNA from 1 species